rnacentral:rRNA from 1 species
AUGAACGCUGACAGAAUGCUUAACACAUGCAAGUCAACUUGAACUUCGGUUUGGGUGGCGGACGGGUGAGUAACGCGUAAAGAACUUGCCUCACAGCUAGGGACAACAUUUGGAAACGAAUGCUAAUACCUGAUAUUAUGAUUUUAGGGCAUCCUAGAAUUAUGAAAGCUAUAUGCGCUGUGAGAGAGCUUUGCGUCCCAUUAGCUAGUUGGAGAGGUAACGGCUCACCAAGGCGAUGAUGGGUAGCCGGCCUGAGAGGGUGAACAGCCACAAGGGGACUGAGACACGGCCCUUACUCCUACGGGAGGCAGCAGUGGGGAAUAUUGGACAAUGGACCAAGAGUCUGAUCCAGCAAUUCUGUGUGCACGAUGAAGUUUUUCGGAAUGUAAAGUGCUUUCAGUUGGGAAGAAAAAAAUGACGGUACCAACAGAAGAAGUGACGGCUAAAUACGUG